UGGCCUAAGGCAAAAAGAAACAAAAGCUAUGUGGGGUGGCGGCCUACGUAGUUCAUUCCCUCUCCGCCACGACUCAGGCAGCUAUGGCGGCGGCGGCGGCAAUACUUGAACUGGAGCCGUCGCACGAGCGAGCGGGCCGCAUCAUCGAAGACAUCGUGCAGCUGGAGAGGAGGAUCUUCCCGAAGCACGAGUCGCUGGCGCGAUCCCUCCACGACGAGCUCAAGCGCCGGAACUCGGGCCUGGUCUACUCGACGUUCAGCGCCGGCGGCGACGAUGUCGUCUGGUACGCCAUGUACACCUAAACCACCUCCCUCUGCGCCACCAUCACCAAGCUCUCCGUGAAGGAGUCAAGGAGAGCUGCAGGCGGCAGGGCCACGGCGAGGCGCUGCUGAAUGCCGCCGUGGAGCGGUGCUGGAGGCAGAGGGUCCAGCAGGUGUCCCUCCACGUCGACCCGGCGAAGACGGCCCGCCGUCGCGCUGUACCGGAAGGCCGGGUUCCAGGUCGACGCCACCGUCGAGGGCUGCUACUCGUCGCAGAGGAGCGCCUACCGGAUGUACAUGGAUCUGUAGGAAUCAAGAGGCCGCCAAAGCUCAUCCUCGUUGCGAGAGAAUUGAGCUUUGCUUUGCCAAUGGCAAUGGCGGUGUUAACUGAACAUAGACAUGGAUACUGUUUCGAAAUCUAACUCGGAUUUGGAUA